AUUGAACGCUGGCGGCAUGCCUUACACAUGCAAGUCGAACGGCAGCACGGGAGCAAUCCUGGUGGCGAGUGGCGAACGGGUGAGUAAUAUAUCGGAACAUGCCCGGUCGUGGGGGAUAACGUAGCGAAAGCUACGCUAAUACCGCAUACGAUCUAUGGAUGAAAGCGGGGGAUCGCAAGACCUCGCGCGAUUGGAGCGGCCGAUAUCAGAUUAGGUAGUUGGUGGGGUAAAGGCUCACCAAGCCGACGAUCUGUAGCUGGUCUGAGAGGACGACCAGCCACACUGGGACUGAGACACGGCCCAGACUCCUACGGGAGGCAGCAGUGGGGAAUUUUGGACAAUGGGCGCAAGCCUGAUCCAGCAAUGCCGCGUGCAGGAUGAAGGCCUUCGGGUUGUAACCUGCUUUUGUACGGAGCGAAAAGGCUUCCACUAAUACUGGGGGCUCAUGACGGUACCGUAAGAAUAAGCACCGGCUAACUACGUGCCAGCCGCCGCCGUAACAC
rnacentral:rRNA from 1 species